AAUCUCUCUCUAUCACUUACACAAUCUUUCUCUGUCUCUCUUGGUUAUCUCCAUAUUAAGGUAAGGGGGUCUUCUAUCAUCAGGAAAACAUAAGGUAGAUGAGCACAAACGAUGGCUUAUUUAGGUGGAUUUGCAAAUCUUUUCACUCUUUAGGGCAUAUUCCAAUCAACUACUGCUUGAAAUUUGACUGAUCAAUGUGAUGCAAAAUUCACGGCAUGGCUUGUUUUAGCAGCUAGUUUCGACAACCUAAUCACCCGAAAAUAACAAACAAUCGGAAAUGCAGCGCGAUAAGUAGAUAUAUGUCUGUGAUCACCCAAUUAGCCACAAAAUAGUGUACUAUGUUUGUGAUGUUACCCUUUUACUCUUCAAUUUUAAAUACAUAUCUCGUUAUA
rnacentral:precursor_RNA from 1 species